rnacentral:rRNA from 1 species
GGCGUAAAGGGCUCGCAGGCGGUUUCUUAAGUCUGAUGUGAAAGCCCCCGGCUCAACCGGGGAGGGUCAUUGGAAACUGGGGAACUUGAGUGCCGAAGAGGAGAGUGGAAUUCCACGUGUAGCGGUGAAAUGCGUAGAGAUGUGGAGGAACACCAGUGGCGAAGGCGACUCUCUGGUCUGUAACUGACGCUGAGGAGCGAAAGCGUGGGGAGCGAACAGGAUUAGAUACCCUGGUAGUCCACGCCGUAAACGAUGAGUGCUAAGUGUUAGGGGGUUUCCGCCCCUUAUUGCUGCACCUAACGCAUUAAUCACUCCGCCUGGGGAGUACGGUCGCAAGACUGAAACUCAAAGGAAUUGACGGGGGCCCGCACAACCGGUGGAGCUUGUGGUUUAUUUCAAACCAUCGCAAAAAACCUUACCAGGCCUUGACUUCCUCGGACUUUCCUAAAAAUAAGAGGUGCCCUUCG